CCUACGGGAGGCAGCAGUGGGGAAUAUUGGGCAAUGGGCGGAAGCCUGACCCAGCGACGCCGCGUGAGGGAUGAAGGCCUUCGGGUUGUAAACCUCUUUCAGCAGGGAAGAAGCGAAAGUGACGGUACCUGCAGAAGAAGCACCGGCUAACUAUGUGCCAGCAGCCGCGGUAAUACAUAGGGUGCAAGCGUUGUCCGGAAUUAUUGGGCGUAAAGAGCUCGUAGGUGGCUCGUCACGUCGAAUGUGAAACCCUGAGGCUCAACCUCAGGCCUGCAUCCGAUACGGGCGAACUGGAGUGUGGUAGGGGAGACUGGAAUUCCUGGUGUAGCGGUGGAAUGCGCAGAUAUCAGGAGGAACACCAAUGGCGAAGGCAGGUCUCUGGGCCACUACUGACACUGAGGAGCGAAAGCGUGGGGAGCAAACAGGAUUAGAUACCCUGGUAGUCCACGCUGUAAACGGUGGGCACUAGUUGUGGGAACCUUCCACGGUUUCUGCGACGCAGCUAGCNUAGUAGCCGCCGCGGUGGACGAGNGCGAAGAGUAAAUUAACAAUAAGUUAGUUAGUAGCGNGNGAGAGCGACGACGACGACGACGGAGGAGGNGG
rnacentral:rRNA from 1 species